rnacentral:rRNA from 1 species
CCCUUAGAUGUUCUGGGCCGCACGCGCGCUACACUGACGGAGGCAGCAAGCGUGUCCUUCGCCGGUAGGUGCGGGCAAUCUUGCGAGUCUCCGUCGUGCUGGGGAUAGAUGGUUGCAAUUGUCGAUCUUGAACGAGGAAUUCCUAGUAAGCGCGAGUCAUCAGCUCGCGCUGAUUACGUCCCUGCCCUUUGUACACACCGCCCGUCGCUACUACAGAGUGCCCGUGUCCAAGAAACGGUCGGACCUGUGCGGCCUCUCCGGGCGACCGGAGGGCCGUUACGGGGAAGACCCUUUAUUUGACGCGGGUCGAUGAAGUAAAAGUCGUAACA